rnacentral:tRNA from 1 species
GCGCUGUUAGCUCAGAUGAACAGAGCAAUUGCCUUCUAAGCAUCGGUCACUGGUUCGACUCCAGUACAGCGCACCA